UUACGGCCACAUCAUGUUGAAACACUGGUUCUCGUACGAUCACCGAAGUUAAGCAACGACGAGCCUGGCCAGUACUUGGAUGGGUGACCGCUUGAGAAUACCAGAUACUGUAAG